AGAAAUACAGUGAAGAAGGAAAGUAGUGUAAAUUGGAUAUUUCAGAGAGGAAAUCAUAUGCUGUGAGAUUUCUAUAUCACAUUUAUGCGAAGUGCCCUUCGGAGUUUUGCACCGAAAGAUAAAGUAGGCUGCAACGGUUUUAUCCGUUAUAGUAAUAGAGCAUAUAACUCCAUUUUGUUUUGGGAGCGUGCUUGAAAUGAGGUGGGAUUUUAUCCAAUUAGAGUGGAACCGCAGAGUGUAAUAGCUUUGUCUCUAGA
rnacentral:ncRNA from 1 species